AGAAAUGUGCCCGAAAUCAAAGGACUAUUUUGAUAAAAUAGACAUAGAGCUACGAAUCUCUCAUUUCA
rnacentral:tRNA from 1 species